rnacentral:rRNA from 1 species
AAGUCGAACGAUGAUAGAGAGCUUGCUUUUCUUGAUUAGUGGCGCACGGGUGAGUAAUGCAUAGAUAAUGUGCCCCUUAGUUCGGGAUAGCCACUGGAAACGGUGAUUAAUACCGGAUACUCCUUCUUGUUAUAAGACAAGUCGGGAAAGUUUUUCGCUAAGGGAUCAGUCUAUGUUCCAUCAGCUUGUUGGUGAGGUAAUGGCUCACCAAGGCUAUGACGGAUAUCUGGUUUGAGAGGAUGAUCAGACACACGGGAACUGAGACACGGUCCAGACUCCUACGGGAGGCAGCAGUGAGGAAUAUUGCACAAUGGAGGAAACUCUGAUGCAGCAACGCCGCGUGGAGGAUGACGCAUUUCGGUGUGUAAACUCCUUUUAUUAGGGAAGAUAAUGACGGUACCUAAUGAAUAAGCACCGGCUAACUCCGUGCCAGCAGCCGCGGUAAUACGGAGGGUGCAAGCGUUACUCGGAAUCACUGGGCGUAAAGGGUGCGUAGGCUGGCUUUUAAGUCAGAUGUGAAAUCCAAUGGCUCAACCAUUGAACUGCAUUUGAAACUGAAAGCCUAGAGUUCAGAAGGGGCAGAUGGAAUUAGUGGUGUAGGGGUAAAAUCCGUAGAUAUCACUAGGAAUAUCAAAAGCGAAGGCGAUCUGCUGGGAUGA